UCUAAUGUCUCAAAUAAAGCUGACACUGUGAAGGAGUCUAUCAGAGUUUUAGAAUACACGCUUGCACUUGAUUUUAUGAAAGUCAAGUAGAUAACGUGAAUUCUCUCAGGAAUUCCACACUUUGCCAACAUGCACAGCUUGGCAGAAUAAAUACAACUUGAGAUCAGGGGAAUUAAUUGGCUGUUUACACAGUUUAAUUGCAGAAAAAAAUAAAGAUCAUUAGUGAGAGAUACUCUAAGUUAUAGCCAGAAGCAUUCCGAAUGAUUUCAUGGUUGAAGAGAGCAUCUAAAUAAAGAUGUUAUAAGCCCAGGUGAACAAGAUCAUCCCCAUGGGAAACAUGUUACCCAGCAUGAAACCAGUGACAGAUGGGAGUUGCAACAUCAAAGGAAAUUUCUGUGUUCCUUUCCAGUCUGAAGACACAUCCCAGCUACUGGAAAGGCAAACUUCUCCAACUGGUUUUGAUUUUCUUCAAAUUUUUCCCCUCUGGAAAGGACUGAGUCGAAUCCCAUAGGCCUUUUUUUGCAAGAUCCUUCAGUCUAUGUGUAGUCUUUCAGAGAAACACUGGCCACUGUCUCAGAGAAGUGUUUCCACUCAGGGCAAAUCUGAGAUUCAUUGCCUUGUGGCUUUCUGAAACUAGAUAAGAAAUGGUAGGCUUAGUGGAGCUACAGGAAAAGUGAAGAGGAAGCAAAAGGAUUGGUUUUGAGUAGAAUGGUAGUUUAAGGGGUCAAUUUUCCUUUGGCUAGUGAGAUUCAGUAGUAACAAUUAAAUCUGGCCAACCAAAUUGAAGCAGAGCUGACUCAGCAUAACUGUGGUGACUUCUUCCUGUUUUGGCUCAACUGAAAGUAAAUUCAAUAAUAACCCUGGAACUAAAAGAAUAAUGGUAGAAAUAGCCCUUUUUUUUGGUUUUUACGAGACAGGGUUUCUCUGUAUUGUUUUGGAGGCUGUCGGUCCAGCCUGGCCUCGAACUCAGAGAGAUCCACCUGCCUCUGCCUCCCGAGUGCUGGGAUUAAAGGCGUGCGCCACCACCGCCCGGCAGAAAUAGCCCUUUUUUAUAAUAGCUACUUUCUCUGUAGAAUUCUCACUUAUCCUGUCUUUCUACACUAUAUAGAGGUGAAAAUUAAUAGCCAUCUAUUUAUACAUGUUUAUUAUAUUUCAGUGUGAUUUUCCAAAGUAUAUAUUAAAUUAUUCUUCCUGAGGAUCUUUUCACAUCCUUAUAAUUUGAAACAUUUUUUGUAUCAAAAUAUUUUAGUUAAUGGGUAGAAGGAUGUUUUGGAGAAUGAGAAUAAUGGGGAUUUAAAAACUGCAUACACCAUAUGUUCAUAUAUGCUCUCAUGAAGGCAAAAGAAUCUUGGUCUUCAAGAUGGCUUCAUUUGCUGCAUGGAACUGUGAGAGUAUAUCUGGAACCAAUAUGGGGAGGGCACCAACCACAUUGGUGCUGCUUGGGGGUUGGGAUCUCAGCUACCAUGACUGGAGAUACUCGAGCUUCCCUGUCAACGGUACAGAUUUUGAAUUCAGUCAGGCUUGAUAUGCAGCAAUCAAUCCAAAAUGUUAACCAUUCAUGUCAUAUAAAAACAUCAUCUAUGUUGGAUAUGUAGUGAAGAUGUGUAACAUCCAUUUUGUCAGCAACAUUCUGGUCAUUUCUCCUGAACUGUCUAUGUAGUGAGGGGAAAACCUCAAUCUACAAAUUAGUUUUCAGUUUAGUCUGUUUUUAAUAAUGAAAGAAGCCACAAUAGGUCUUAGUGUUUGGACAUUUUUAAAGAUACUUAGAGUUCUCUGAGAAUUGUCUUCAACAUCCUGAAAAGAUGAAAGAGAAUGGGAAUAAGUGGUGCCCUGGUUAUGACACCUGUGUGUAUACUCUGUGACUUUCAGGGAGGUGUUCUUAUUUACUCUUGUCUUGAUGAGUAACCAUUGCCUGGUCUUGCUCUGGGUCUCCUAUUGAGUCAACCAUACGGCCCUUCUGUAGCCACAAUCUCUGCUUCCACCAGGGCAUAAACACCUUUGGAUUGUGACUUUGGUCCCAUUCUGCCUAAGUGUCCAAUUCCGUAAUGCUAUUGUACUUUACUUGUAAGUAUUUCACUCUAACCUUUCCUUGCUUCCUGGGCACAAGUGUUCCAGUUUAAUUUGGUUCUCUCUCAGCUCUUUGUUGUGCAAGGUUAUAUGUCAGAGGUGGAGACUAUAGUGCCCUAUCAUAGGAUAUGUUGCUAGGGGUGUGUGUGUGUUUGUGUGCAUGUGCAUGCGUGUGUGUGUGUGUGUGUGUGUGUGUGUGUGUGUGUGUGUGUUCAUGUUGGAGAGCGAUAAAUUCUUCUAUUUUCUUGAUACUCUCACUUUCUAUUAUACCUCCCCUCUUGAUCAAAAUUAGAACAGGAAUUUCAGACAUGGUUAUACUUAUUUCUUUUCUUUUUUUUGUUCCAUAUCCAUAUAUGCUUUUUUCCUUGUCUUUUCCAAAAUAAUAGUGAGAAUUCUUUCCAUUUCUUCCUCCUGUAUCUCCUGUAUUCUUCUAGAAACAUAAAAGCAUGAAAUCAAGACGUUUUCCCCCUAAUUAUUUCAAAACAGACCAGCUUAUUCACAAAAUUCUGUUUUAGAAUGUUGGAAAGUAAAUUAUGCCUGGUCUUCACUUUGUUUCUCCUGUAACAGGUGCUAAUAUCAAUCAACAAAUUACAGUCAUCUGUUCAUAAAUGCAAAAGGAAAAAAAGCACACUGAUUAUGUACAAAUAUCAAUUCUCAUGGCCACCAUUACCUCCACCUUCAGGGCACACAGGUGAGGGCUAUUUGAGAUUUCCUUCUUAAUGUUGAAGUGGGAAACAUUCAUCCUUUGCAUACAAGCAGUAUGGAGAAUGGAGGACUGGCUCUUUAGAAAGGCAUUCAACUCUCUAGUUGAAGGCCAAGUAAGUAUUCUGUUCCUAUGAUCCAAGAAUCAGGAAGUAUGUGUCCUAUUCCAUUCUAAUUAAUUGUGUUGCAUUAAAUUGUGCACUGGUUUCAAUUACGUCUACAAGAUCUAUUUCACAUGGAGUAGCCAACAUGACCUCUCUAAGAUGCAAAUCAUAUUGUGCCUACUCUGCCUGAAAAUACACAAAGGGCUUCCUAUCCCACUUAUAAUAGAGCCAGAAGUCUCUGUGGCUUGCUCCUCUCUGCCUACUCUGUUGUGGAAGGGAUGCUGCUUGCCCACUUCUCCAUUUCAUCUCCAUCUUCUGGGUUUCAGUCCCUGUGUACCAGCCUCCAGGUUCCCUGCUGGCUCCUCAGGGUGCUAGUGCUAUUGUCUCCAGAAGAGGGGACUUGUACAUGCUGCUGCUUUUCACCAGAGAGCUGACUGACUUUUCUUGGCUACCUUCUCCCCCCAGGGUAAUCAGUUCCUUUUUAUUAAAUUAUUUUUUAUUAUGACACUUUAGAAGAAGUAAUGUUGACUUCGUUACUCUGUACACAUAAGCAUGCAUUCAAAGACACAGUGGAAAAUCCUCAAAUCAAAAGGCUGUGUUACAUUGUGAAGUAGACUUUGAUAUAUUGUUUUCAAUUUGGUAGUACUGGAUCCUGUGUUGUUUAAAAAAUACCUUUUUUGUGAUGAAUAAACUCACCAUAUUAUCCACA